CCUACGGGAGGCUGCAGUGGGGAAUAUUGGACAAUGGGGGGAACCCUGAUCCAGCCAUGCCGCGUGUGUGAAGAAGGCCCUCGGGUUGUAAAGCACUUUCAGUGAGGAAGAACGCCUGGUGGUUAAUACCCAUCAGGAAAGACAUCACUCACAGAAGAAGCACCGGCUAACUCCGUGCCAGCAGCCGCGGUAAUACGGAGGGUGCGAGCGUUAAUCGGAAUUACUGGGCGUAAAGCGCGCGUAGGUGGCUUGAUAAGCCGGUUGUGAAAGCCCCGGGCUCAACCUGGGAACGGCAUCCGGAACUGUCAAGCUAGAGUGCAGGAGAGGAAGGUAGAAUUCCCGGUGUAGCGGUGAAAGGCGUAGAGAUCGGGAGGAAUACCAGUGGCGAAGGCGGCCUUCUGGACUGACACUGACACUGAGGUGCGAAAGCGUGGGUAGCAAACAGGAUUAGAUACCCUUGUAGUC
rnacentral:rRNA from 1 species